rnacentral:rRNA from 1 species
CAAGAGAUUCCCUUUAGUAGCGGGCGAGCGAAGCGGGAAGAGCUCAAAUUUGAAAGCUGGCGUCCUACGGGCGUCCGCAUUGUAAUCUAUAGAGGCGUUUUCUGUGCUGGACCGUGUCCAAGUCCCUUGGAACAGGGUAUCAAAGAGGGUGACAAUCCCGUACUUGACACGACAACCAGUGCUCUGUGAUACGUCUUCUACGAGUCGAGUUGUUUGGGAAUGCAGCUCAAAAUGGGUGGUGAAUUCCAUCUAAAGCUAAAUAUUGGCGAGAGACCGAUAGCGAACAAGUACCGUGAGGGAAAGAUGAAAAGCACUUUGGAAAGAGAGUUAAACAGUAUGUGAAAUUGUUGAAAGGGAAACGAUGGAGGUCAGUCGUGUCUGUGGGAUUCAGCCGUCUCUGGCGGUGUACUUCCCACAGACGGGUCAACAUCAGUUUUGGCUGGCGGAUAAAGGCAGGAGGAAGGUGGCACCCCCGGGUGUGUUAUAGCCUCUUGUUGCAU